rnacentral:rRNA from 1 species
ACUAUCAUUAACUGAAUCCAUAGGUUAAUGAGGCGAACCGGGGGAACUGAAACAUCUAAGUACCCCGAGGAAAAGAAAUCAACCGAGAUUCCCCCAGUAGCGGCGAGCGAACGGGGAGGAGCCCAGAGCCUGAAUCAGCAUGUGUGUUAGUGGAAGCGUCUGGAAAGGCGCGCGAUACAGGGUGACAGCCCCGUACACAAAAGCGCAUGUGCUGUGAGCUCGAUGAGUAGGGCGGGACACGUGGUAUCCUGUCUGAAUAUGGGGGGACCAUCCUCCAAGGCUAAAUACUCCUGACUGACCGAUAGUGAACCAGUACCGUGAGGGAAAGGCGAAAAGAACCCCGGCGAGGGGAGUGAAAAAGAACCUGAAACCGUGUACGUACAAGCAGUGGGAGCACAGGUUUACCUGUGUGACUGCGUACCUUUUGUAUAAUGGGUCAGCGACUUAU